GCAUCAAUGAACUGUCAUUCCGGACUCGACUGGUACCGCAAACAGAUCAUUGGUUCUGCUCUUAUUUAUUGCCAUCUAGUCCUGUUUGCAGAAUGAACUGUGGCUCCAGCCAUUAAGCAGACCUGAACCAGUUGAUGAAGGUCUUCAGGAUCACCAGAAACUACAGGCAGGUGUGUGAGAAAGUUGGAGCUACAUACUGCAGGACGUUGGUCCUCCAUGACCAGGACUGGACACCACUGUUGUCUAAGCCAGCCACAGUGGAUACAGUGAAGCCACAAACACAGUUCAUAGUUCUUGUAUUUCUAUUACUUAUUAAGUAAUAAAAAAGAUCAUGUUAAUUGUUACGAAUGGGAGACUCAGGCUGGAGAUCCAAGUGCAGCGUUUUAUUAGAAGUAAGCGUGGUCGUACAGGCAGGGUAAAUCAGGAACAAACAGGAGCAGCAAAGGACAGGCAGGGUCGUAGUCAGGGUACAGGCGGUAGGUCAAAAGGCAGGCAGAUAUCACUCACAGAACAGUAUACGAGGCAAGGAUCAGGACAGGCAGCAACGGGUCAAUAAACAGGAACAGACAAGGUCGAGAACAGACAGGCAAACAGGGAAUAAACGCUCAGAAAUUGCAACUGUGUUGACAAUACUUCGCGGUGAGGUGGUGUGUUUGGAAGUCCUUUAUAGUCCUGUUAAUGAGCUGCAGCUGGGUGUGGUAAUCAGUGUGGUGUGCUAGG